UACGAAGGGGGCUAGCGUUGCUCGGAAUCACUGGGCGUAAAGGGUGCGUAGGCGGGUUUUAAGUCAGGGGUGAAAUCCUGGAGCUCAACUCCAGAACUGCCUUUGAUACUGAAGAUCUUGAGUUCGGGAGAGGUGAGUGGAACUGCGAAGUGUAGGAGGUGAAAGUUCGUAGAUAUUGGGAAGAAACACCGGGUGGCGAAGGCGGCUAUCUGGACUGGUGAUUGACGCUGAGGCGCGAAAGCGUGGGGGAGCAAACAGG
rnacentral:rRNA from 1 species